rnacentral:misc_RNA from 1 species
AGAACAUCUUUGACAAUGUAUCUACGAAUGUGACAUAAUCAGCAGGUCAUCAAAAUGCUUGAUAUUAUAUUUUAGGAAUAAUUACUAACAAGUUAAAUCUCAUACUUUAAAACAUUACAAUAUCACAUAACCUUUAGUUUGGAUUUCAAUACUCACCAUCACUGAUGUUCUUUAUGAAAUUUCUCUCAAUCCAUUUUUCAUUUG